UGGGGAAUAUUGCGCAAUGGGGGAAACCCUGACGCAGCGACGCCGUGUGAGGGAAGAAGGCCUUCGGGUCGUAAACCUCUGUCGGGAGGGAAGAACCGCCGGUUUCCGAACAGGGAGCCGGCCUGACGGUACCUCCGAAGGAAGCGCCGGCUAACUCCGUGCCAGCAGCCGCGGUAAUACGGAGGGCGCGAGCGUUAAUCGGAAUCACUGGGCGUAAAGGGCGCGUAGGCGGGCAGAUAAGUCGGGAGGGAAAGCGCACGGCUCAACCGAGGAAUUGCGUUCGAUACUGGUUGGCUUGAGUCCUGGAGAGGGUGGCGGAAUUCCGGGUGUAGGAGUGAAAUCCGUAGAUAUCCGGAGGAACACCGGUGGCGAAGGCGGCCACCUGGACAGGUGCUGAUGCUGAGGUGCGAAAGCGUGGGGAGCAAACAG
rnacentral:rRNA from 1 species